rnacentral:lncRNA from 1 species
UGAUAGAGAUCACAAUGCAAAGGUCCAUACAUGGACUUAAGCAAAUAUUUUGGAGUUGGAAUACUUGUUUCAAUGAUGUGAUCAAAUUAUUUGAUUUUAUCGAGAACGAAGAGAAUUCGUAUUUAUAUGAAGGUCAGUGGAAGUACUGUCUCAUUUCUCAUAUUAUACGUAGAUGACAUCCUCCUGAUUGGGAGUGUUUAAUGCUGACAUCGGUUAAAAUAUGGUUGCAUAUAGAAUUUUCAUAAAGACCUAGGACAAGCAUCCCAUAUUCUGAGAAUAAAAAGGUCUAAGAGAUAGAUCUAAGAAGAUGCUUGAGUUUUCAUAAAAAAAUACAUAGGGGAGAUACUGAAAGGGUUCAGCAUAGUGACCUUCAAGAGGGGUCUGCUAUCCUCUUGGGCAUAGGAGUAUGCCAUGCUAUUGAUGAAUACAUUAAAUAUGAUACAAAGAAGUAUUAUAAUUUAUAUUAUUUAAUUUAUAUUAUUUUAUAUUUAAUAUUUUUUAUAUAUUUUUUUAAAAAUUAUUGAUCACGA